GCUAGCUUUAUUUGGAGUUUUGUACGGGCAAAUCAAUCAGUGUGCCUUAUAUUUUUAUUUUUGAGGGAACAUUCAGUGUGGUCAAGUGGCUGAAAACAGAACUCCAACUUGCUCCAUAUCUUUAAUGAGGAACGGCACAUUCGUAAUGUAUGUUCACAAGUUGCAUAUGGAUGUACCAAAACUUGAGCACCGUACGACAACCUUUUCAUAUGGAACUGAUUACACACUGCUGGUUCUUGGAAACCGGAGCUUCCUUCCAAGAGACAGACCUGUUUCAGAAAUCAGAAGUUCUACAGCUCUUUCUUAUAUCAGUUUUUUGGUCAUCAGAUUAUUAUUAGGCUCUAGGCUGCGUAACUUGACACAUUAUUGACGAUGCUUGGAUUUAUUAAAGUGCAAGUUGAUGCAUCUGUAGCUUUUUCUGGCUUAUUGGACUCUCUCUUUGGUUGCUUUGGAGUUAAAUAGUUGAUGCUCGGAUUUAUUGAAAGUGAGUUGAUGCAUCUGUAGCUUUUUCUGGCUUACUGGACUCUCUCUUUGGUUGCUUUGGAGUUAAAUAGUUGACUGAAGAGCCGCUCAUCUCGUCUUGUACGUAAGUGUGCGACCUGUACAGUUAUCUUUUUCUGGAUACGGUGCAAUGGACCAGCAUUACUUGACAAUA